UCGGGAAUUUUGGGCAAUGGGCGAAAGCCUGACCCAGCAACGCCGCGUGAAGGAUGAAGUAUUUCGGUAUGUAAACUUCGAAGGAAUAGGAAGAAUAAAUGACGGUACUAUUUAUAAGGUCCGGCUAACUACGUGCCAGCAGCCGCGGUAAUACGUAGGGACCAAGCGUUGUUCGGAUUUACUGGGCGUAAAGGGCGCGUAGGCGGCAAUUCAAGUCAUCUGUGAAAUCUCCGGGCUUAACUCGGAACGGUCAGAUGAUACUGCUUUGCUAGAGUGCAGAAGGGGCAAUCGGAAUUCUUGGUGUAGCGGUGAAAUGCGUAGAUAUCAAGAGGAACACCUGAGGUGAAGACGGGUUGCUGGGCUGACACUGACGCUGAGGCGCGAAAGCCAGGGGAGCAAACGGGAUUAGAUACCCCAGUAGUCCCUGAGCGGGCUGGCAAGGCGCAU
rnacentral:rRNA from 1 species